GGGAGAAGCCCAGCACCGAAUCCCGCGGUCGGCAACGGCGUCGGGAAAUGUGGUGUUCGGGAGGGUCCGCCGUCCCGCGGCCGCGCGUCGCGUCCAAGUCCUUCUUGAACGGGGCCACUUACCCAUAGAGGGUGCCAGGCCCGUAGAGACCGGCGCCGGUGGCGGGAGGACCUCUCCUUAGAGUCGGGUUGCUUGAAAGUGCAGCCCUAAGCGGGUGGUAAACUCCAUCUAAGGCUAAAUACGACCACGAGACCGAUAGCGAACAAGUACCGUGAGGGAAAGUUGAAAAGAACUUUGAAGAGAGAGUUCAAUAGUACGUGAAACCGUUCAGGGGUAAACCCGAGAAACCCGAAAGUUCGAAAGGGGAGAUUCAGCGCGUCUCGCGCGCGGCGGAGCGUCGAUCUCGAGCGACGUGCGCGGGACGUUCGCGUUGCUGCGCCGCGCCGAGCGUCGCCGUCCCGUCGUCGAACGCGUGCACUUCUCCCCGAGUAGGACGUCGCGACCCGUUCGGUGGCCGCCUAAGGCCGGCGGAGGAGGCGCGGCUCGGGUCGUCGGCGUGCGUUUCGUGCGCGCGACCCGCCCGCGAACCCCCGCCAAGGCGCGCGACGGUCUCGACGGCUCGCUUGGAGCGCGAGGCCUUUCGCAGUCCGCGCCGUGCCAAGUGCUAGCUGUUGCGUGUGUGCGCGUCCGACCCGUCGCAGAGCCGACGUCCACCCGGCGUCGGAUGCAGCGCUCUCGGCCCGGCUCCUCGCACCGCUCGGCGACUCUAUAGCUUUGGGUACUCUCAGGACCCGUCUUGAAACACGGACCAGGGAGUCUAGCAUGUGCGCGAGUCAUUGGGACACGCCCGAACCCUAAAGGCGGAAUUAAAGUGCAUGCACGCCUCGUCCGUAACCAGGGAGGAUGGAGUCCGGCACGUUCGCGAGUCAACUCCGCACUCCCGGGGUGACCCAAAG
rnacentral:rRNA from 1 species